AUUGAACGCUGGCGGCAUGCCUUACACAUGCAAGUCGAACGGCAGCACGGGAGCAAUCCUGGUGGCGAGUGGCGAACGGGUGAGUAAAGUAUCGGAACGUGCCCAGUCGUGGGGGAUAACGUAGCGAAAGUUACGCUAAUACCGCAUACGAUCUAUGGAUGAAAGCGGGGGAUCGCAAGACCUCGCGCGAUUGGAGCGGCCGAUAUCAGAUUAGGUAGUUGGUGGGGUAAAGGCUCACCAAGCCGACGAUCUGUAGCUGGUCUGAGAGGACGACCAGCCACAGUGGAACUGAGACACGGCCCAGACUCCUACGGGAGGCAGCAGUGGGGAAUUUUGGACAAUGGGCGAAAGCCUGAUCCAGCCAUGCCGCGUGCAGGAUGAAGGCCUUCGGGUUGGAAACUGCUUUUGUACGGAACGAAAAGGUUUGGCCUAAUAAGCUGAGCUCAUGACGGUACCGUAAGAAUAAGCACCGGCUAACUACGUGCCAGCCGCCGCCGUAA
rnacentral:rRNA from 1 species